rnacentral:rRNA from 1 species
AACGAACGCUGGCGGCAUGCCUAACACAUGCAAGUCGAACGAGACCUUCGGGUCUAGUGGCGCACGGGUGCGUAACGCGUGGGAACCUGCCCUUAGGUUCGGAAUAACGUCCCGAAAGGGGUACUGAUACCGGAUAAUGUCUUCGGACCAAAGAUUUAUCGCAUUUGUAUGUGCCCGAUUUGAAUUAGCUAGUUGGUACGGUAAAAGCCUACCAAGGCGACGAUCCAUAGCUGGUUUGAGAGGAUGAUCAGCCACACUGGGACUGAGACACGGCCCAGACUCCUACGGGAGGCAGCAGUGGGGAAUAUUGGACAAUGGGCGAAAGGAUGAUCCAGCAAUGCCGCGUGAGUGAUGAAGGCAUUAGGGUUGUAAAGCUCUUUUACCCGGGAUGAUAAUGACAGUACCGGGAGAAUAAGCUACGGCUAACUCCGUG